GAAGGUUCUGAGACAUAUUGACAGUUGACGGUUCUGAGACAUAUUGACUUUGACUGGAAGGUUCUGCGACAUAUUGACAGUUGAAGGUUUUGAGACAUAUGACCGUUGACUGGAAGGCUCUGAGACAUAUUGACAGUUUGACUGAGGCUCUGAGCUAUUGAGUUUACUGAAUGUUCUGAGACAUAUUGACAGUUGAAGGUUCUGAGACAUAUUGACAGUUUGACUGGAAGGUUCUGAGACAUAUUGACAGUUGAAGGUUCUGAGACAUAUUGACAGUUUGACUGGAAGGUUCUGAGACAUAUUGACAGUUGAAGGUUCUGAGACAUAUUGACAGUUUACCAAACCUGCUUUAUAAUUUGACAACGACAAUCCAUUGUUACCCAGCCCUCCAUUUGUCUCCAGUCUCUCACACAGGGCUGGAAGGCCCGUUGGCCCCAGUUUUCAAUCCACAGACUGUAUGGAUAUUUCAGCAAACAGCUUUCAAUUCAGCGAUUGUCAAUCCCCUUGUUCUGAUUGGGGCAGUAAAGAACACCAUGUUGAUUCACCAUGUUGAUUCCAACAGUCCAGUAUUUUCYCUCCCUCCAACCCGGCUGGUCGUUAGAUUGGGGCAGUAAAGGACACCAUGUUGACUCCAACAGUCCAGUAUUUUCCCUCCCUCCAACCCGGCUGGUCGUUAGAUUGGGACAGUAAAGAACGCCAUGUUGACUCCAACAGUCCAGUAUUUUCCCUCCCUCCAACCCCAGCAUCAGUCAG
ensembl:lncRNA